GACAAAAAAAAAAGGAUAAAUAAAAUACAUCUACAAAUAUGGAGUCAGUAUAAUGAUUUGUUUGUAUUAUUAAAAAAUAAUUUUUUAAAUUAGGAUUUUUACGAAACUAAAUAAUAACUAAAAUAAUAAAAACGUUUUAUAACUUAAGCAUGCAUAAGAACUGCAUAAUAACAUAGAGCUGCAUUUUGAACAUGACCAUUCUGCACAUUCGUCUUCCAAAACAUAAUCAGGGAUAAGUUUACAAGCGCGAUGAUAGCAAUUUUCACAUAUAUUGUUAUAGAAUUGAACUUUCCGGCCUACUAAACGGUGGUUUUUCGUGUGAUGCUUCAUAAUCGUCAGUAUCUAAGUUUAAGAAUGGUGAAUUUAGAUAUAAUGAUGACAAAGCACUCCAUGACCAAGCAGGGUACUUUCUAAA